GACGAACGCUGGCGGCGUGCCUAAUACAUGCAAGUCGAACGCAGUGGGGACGGGUGAUUAACACGUGGGUAACCUCCCAUCAGAGGGGAUAACACUUGGCAACAGGUGCUAAACCGAUACUGAUGGAUGGUCCCGCGGUGCAGUCGCUAGUUGGGGAGGUAACGGCUCACCAAGGCUACGAUGCGUAGCUGGCCUGAGAGGGUGAUCAGCCACACUGGGACUGAGACACGGUCCAGACUCCUACGGGAGGCAGCAGUAGGGAAUCUUCGACAAUGGGCGAAAGUCUGACCGAGCAACGCCGCGUGAGUGAAGAAGGUUUUCGGAUUGUAAAGCACUGUUAGUAGAGAAGCGUUAUCUACCCAAAAAGCCACGGCUAACUACGUGCCAGCCGCCGCGGUAAUUC
rnacentral:rRNA from 1 species